GUAGAAUUAGUUUAAUUGGCAAAACAGCGUUUUGUGGCAACGUAGUUCAGAGUUCAAGUCUCCGAUUUUACC
rfam:Plicaturopsis crispa FD-325 SS-3 unplaced genomic scaffold PLICRscaffold_72, whole genome shotgun sequence.